CUACGUGCCAGCAGCCGCGGUAAUACGUAGGUCCCGAGCGUUAUCCGGAUUUAUUGGGCGUAAAGCGAGCGCAGGCGGUUAGAUAAGUCUGAAGUUAAAGGCUGUGGCUUAACCAUAGUACGCUUUGGAAACUGUUUAACUUGAGUGCAAGAGGGGAGAGUGGAAUUCCAUGUGUAGCGGUGAAAUGCGUAGAUAUAUGGAGGAACACCGGUGGCGAAAGCGGCUCUCUGGCUUGUAACUGACGCUGAGGCUCGAAAGCGUGGGGAGCAAACAGGAUUAGAUACCCUGGUAGUCCACGCCGUAAACGAUGUCGAUUUGGGGGUUGAGCUUUGAGUUUGGCGCCCGUAGCUAACGUGAUAAAUCGACCGCCUGGGGAGUACGGCCGCAAGGUUAAAACUCAAAUGAAUUGACGGGGGCCCGCACAAGCGGUGGAGCAUGUGGUUUAAUUCGAUGCAACGCGAAGAACCUUACCUACUCUUGACAUCCAGAGAACAUUC
rnacentral:rRNA from 1 species